UACAGAGGGGGCAAGCGUUGUUCGGAAUUACUGGGCGUAAAGGGCGCGUAGGCGGCCUUCUAAGUCGAACGUGAAAUCCCCGGGCUCAACCCGGGAACUGCGUCCGAUACUGGAAGGCUUGAAUCCGGGAGAGGGAUGCGGAAUUCCAGGUGUAGAGGUGAAAUUCGUAGAUAUUAGGAAGAACACCAGUGGCGAAGGCGGCUCACUGGCCCGGUACUGACGCUGAGGCGCGAAAGCGUGGGGAGCAAACAGG
rnacentral:rRNA from 1 species